CAGCAGACAAGCUGAAGGGAAGGAACAGAACCAAGUGCAGGCAGGCGGAGAGGUGCAAGCGCAUGGGGCAUUCCAGAACCUAUCAGGUGGUCGGGGGCCAGAUCACCCCCGCCCCCCCCCCGUGGCUUGCACAUGGUGCUGAGGAAGGAGCUGACAUCCUGAAGGAGAAGGGGUCCAGGAACCCCGUGUUGUGGCUUGACCCUGGUGAACUCAUUUUGUGUUUUCACCUACAGUCCUUAAAUCCGGACUCUGCCAAGGAUUUGUCAAGUUCAAACUUAGAACUUCCCAUUGAUUCUACUUACAUUUCACCUUGUCUGUUAUGUCUGUCUGGACCCUGUUUGUCGAAAACUGUUGAUCAUGCCCCCUAAAGCAUCUCUUCUUCAAGCAUUGAUCAAUUGACCAAUAUCAAGAAUGAGGCUGGGGUGGAGCUUCACUGCAAGGUCAGUCCACACCCCGGGGGCCGACGGUGCUGCUGUCAGACUGCAGAUAAUCCAUUUGGGCCACUGUCAUGAUGAAUAUCGUCGGCAUGACAGGACCUUGAGCCACCUAGGAGAUACACUCAGCAUGCCUGUGAAGAGUUACCUAGAGCAGGACAUUUCAGUCUCUUAGAUCUUGACUGUGAUUCGAUGGUACACAACAUGGAGGAAGCAGACUGUGAAUAUGCCUGUCACCAACACCCUGGAGCACAUCAAAGAAAAGGAGAACGGAGAGAUCUUAAAUCUGGCCACCUCUCAUUUUUCAUUAGUAUGUAAUCAAAUUAUUCUAAUGGGUGCAUUAAUGUUUGAUUCAUCUUGCUGUAUGGUUUUGUUUAUUUGGUUUUGGCUGGGUUUUUUGUUUUGUUUUGUUUUUGUUUUUGUUUUUGAGACAGGG
rnacentral:lncRNA from 1 species